UUGCAUUUCCAAAAAGCGGAGGAAAAGAAACCAACAGGGAUUGCCUUAGUAACGGCGAGUGAAGCGGCAAAAGCUCAAAUUUGAAAUCGGCCAUCAGGUCGAGUUGUAAUUUGUAGAUUGUACUUUGAGAGCGGAUUAAAGUCUGUUGGAACACAGCGCCUUAGAGGGUGACAGCCCCGUAAAAUCUAUUCUCAUUGUAAAGUACUUUCGAAGAGUCGAGUUGUUUGGGAAUGCAGCUCUAAGUGGGAGGUAAAUUCCUUCUAAAGCUAAAUAUUGACGAGAGACCGAUAGCGAACAAGUACUGUGAAGGAAAGAUGAAAAGCACUUUGAAAAGAGAGUGAAAAAGUACGUGAAAUUGUUAAAAGGGAAGGGUAUUGAAUCAGACGUGGUGCUGUUGUUCAACUUUGUUUCGGCAUGGUGUACUCAGCAGUACUAGGCCAAGGUGGGGUGUUUGGGAGUGAAAAAGGAAUAGGAACGUAGCUCUUCGGAGUGUUAUAAUCUAUUUUCAUAGCUCCUCAGGCGCCUCAGGACUGCGCUCGGCAAGACUUGCAUAAUCGGAGUU
rnacentral:rRNA from 1 species